AUGCACCAGAUACUAGCCUGACAGUCCAGCUUGUCCCAGGUGUUUUGCACACUGGGGUCGUCCAUGGCUGCACGGCUUCACACGGUGCGAGAGCAGCAUCAGCCCUGAGAUUUAAGCUUUUCAGUGGGGAGCAGCACUGUUAAGUUAUGGCUCCAAGGCACAGAC
rnacentral:scRNA from 1 species